rnacentral:rRNA from 1 species
GAUGAACGCUGGCGGCGUGCCUAAUACAUGCAAGUCGAGCGAACAGAUAAGGAGCUUGCUCCUUUGACGUUAGCGGCGGACGGGUGAGUAACACGUGGGUAACCUACCUAUAAGACUGGAAUAACUCCGGGAAACCGGGGCUAAUGCCGGAUAACAUUUAGAACCGGAUGGUUCUAAAGUGAAAGAUGGUUUUGCUAUCACUUAUAGAUGGACCCGCGCCGUAUUAGCUAGUUGGUAAGGUAACGGCUUACCAAGGCAACGAUACGUAGCCGACCUGUGAGGGUGGUAGGCCACACUGGAGCGGAACCGCGGUCCAGACUCCUACGGGAGGCAGCAGAAGGGAAUCUGCCGCAAUGGGCGAAAGCCUGACGGAGCAACGCCGCGUGAGUGAUGAAGGUCUUCGGAUCGUAAAACUCUGUUAUUAGGGAAGAACAAAUGUGUAAGUAACUGUGCACGGCUUGACGGUACCUAAUCAGAAAGCCACGGCUAACUACGUG